GACGAACGCUGGCGGCGCGCCUAACACAUGCAAGUCGAACGAGCAAGAGAGAGCUUGCUUUCUCGAGCGAGUGGCGAACGGGUGAGUAACGCGUGAGGAACCUGCCUCAAAGAGGGGGACAACAGUUGGAAACGACUGCUAAUACCGCAUAAGCCCACGGGUCGGCAUCGACCAGAGGGAAAAGGAGCAAUCCGCUUUGAGAUGGCCUCGCGUCCGAUUAGCUAGUUGGUGAGGUAACGGCCCACCAAGGCGACGAUCGGUAGCCGGACUGAGAGGUUGAACGGCCACAUUGGGACUGAGACACGGCCCAGACUCCUACGGGAGGCAGCAGUGGGGAAUAUUGCACAAUGGGGGAAACCCUGAUGCAGCGACGCCGCGUGGAGGAAGAAGGUCUUCGGAUUGUAAACUCCUGUUGUUGGGGAAGAUAAUGACGGUACCCAACAAGGAAGUGACGGCUAACUACGUG
rnacentral:rRNA from 1 species